UACGUAGGUGGCAAGCGUUGUCCGGAUUUAUUGGGUUUAAAGGGUGCGUAGGUGGUCUAUUAAGUCAGUGCUGAAAUAUCCCGGCUUAACCGGGAGGGUGGCAUUGAUACUGAUGGACUUGAGUGGAGUUGAGGUAGGCGGAAUUGACGGUGUGGCGGUGAAAUGCUUAGAUAUCGUCAAGAACACCGAUAGCGAAGGCAGCUUACUAAGCUCUAACUGACACUGAUGCACGAAAGUGUGGGGAUCAAACAGG
rnacentral:rRNA from 1 species